CUUUAUCUCCUCUCUAUCAGACUCCCACUUUUAAUCCUCUUCAACAAUGUAAGUUUUUUUUCUUCAAAUACAAAAAAUUGGGCGUGAAUCUAGGGUUAAUGUCUGAAAAAUAGAAGAAAACUUUCGAAAUUGCAAGAUUUUUGCUGCAGAAUUCUAAAAUUUGAAGUCGUGUGUUGCUGCUCCGCAAGAUUCUCAGACGAAAGAAAUUAAUUGGAGCCAAGAUCGUUGUAUUUUGGUAUAAAGAAGUUAUCAAAUUCAACAAUUCAGUGAGUAGUUCAAGCAUUGGAUAGUGCAGAUAUGCCUCGAGGUAGAGGUCGAGGUAGCACAGGCCGUGUAGGUAAAUCUUCAGUUAGGGGUAAUUUUGCUACUCGUGAAAAUAUGCCUAUUGUUCCCAUUCCCACAAUUAAUUCUCAACAAGGUGAUAUAGGUUCUUCAGGUGGACUAGAUCACAUCAAUCAAGUUCAAACAUUAGGUCCUAGUAGUACGUCACCUAUUCAAACAUCAGGCCAUGGUAGUACCCCAACUAUUAAUUUGGAACCAUCUCCAAAUACCCCUAAUCAGAGCAACACAAUAGGCGAGGGUACAUCUUCUCA